rnacentral:rRNA from 1 species
UACGUAGGGUGCGAGCGUUGUCCGGAAUUAUUGGGCGUAAAGGGCUCGUAGGCGGUUUGUCGCGUCGGGAGUGAAAUCCACUGGCUUAACUGGUGGCUUGCUUUCGAUACGGGCAGACUGGAGGUAUGCAGGGGAGAACGGAAUUCCUGGUGGAGCGGUGAAAUGCGCAGAUAUCAGGAGGAACACCGGUGGCGAAGGCGGGUCUCUGGGCCGAUACUGACGCUGAGGAGCGAAAGCGUGGGGAGCGAACAGG